CUUAUCCAGAAAGACGGAGGGAAUGGGCCCGAUGAUGUCUUAGCAACCCCUUAGGGCGGGUGCUACUUCCCACCUCGUUUUCAUACGAGGAUAGAUGAGA
rnacentral:ncRNA from 1 species